ensembl:lncRNA
AGUGACCCCAACGCCAUCCUUUUUACAUCAUCUCAACCAACAGGAAUAGCUUGACUGUUUACUCAAGCCCACUGAAGGGGAACACGAGGUGACUCGACUUCUGUUGCUAAGCUUCCGCCAGUAAGCUGUCAUGGAUUUAAAGCUGGAAACUGAGCUAAUUUUCCAGAGAGGCGGGCCUUCUCAGAGGGUCACUGCAGCCCGCUGUCGCCUUGCUUGGAGCACAGGCGGGGUCACAAGCCCCUGAACUCCGAGGGAGAACAAGGGCCUCACUGUUGCCCCCGGAAGGCUGAGCACGAUGUCCAUGGAGCCCCCGGGAGACCCACAGAGAGGAGCAGUGGAGGCUUUCCCACUGCGGACCCACCUUGUUCUCGGUGGACAGGGGGUGAAGACUGACUUAUUUGUGUUCUCAAACUACCUUGGCAGCAGGGCCAGGCACAGCUCACAACAAAUCUGGACCAUCGGCACACCUAAGAAAAACAGACCGAGAGACCAGUGUUUGCCUUCCAUGAAAAGUGCACUGUUUGCUGCAGUAAGCCCAUGAAGCCCCAAAUCCUCCUUCACUGCCAGGUGGGCCUCACCCCCUGCUGGUUCCUGAGUGGGAGACCCCUGUUUGAUGGACGCUUAGAAACUGAGGAUUCUAAGAAAAACCGUUUCACUCUCUAAGACUACGUCUCACCUUCUACAAGACGAGGAUAACAAUGCCUCCUUACUGCCUGCAUGCACGUGUGCUAAGUCGCUUCGGUCGUGUCCGACUCUUUGUGACCCCAUGGACUAUAGCCCGCCAGGCUCCUCUGUCCAUGGGAUUCUCCAGGCAAGAAUGUUGGAGUGGGUUGCCAUGCUCUCUUCCAGGGCAUCUUCCCGACCCAGGGAUUGAACCUUCAUCUCUUAUGUCUCCUGCAAUGGCGGGCAGGUUCUUUACCACUAGCACCACCUGAAAAGGCCCUUUCUUACUGCAUUUAGGAAUCGAACUUGCGCCCCUGGAGCAGACGCACAGAGUUUUAUCUGCUGGACCAGAUCUGAAGUUUUAACACCAGAAGUAUCAGUGCCCUUGCGCUUUACCUCUGUUCAACGCUGGAGCCUUUACUGUCUCCAGAGCUGCCCCAGCCUUCUCUUCAAAUUCCAGGCCCAUGGGUCACAGCUACAGAUCAGAGCCCUGCAUGGGAAGAAGGCAGCUUGCACAUCUCCCGUCACCAGUCUUUCCUCCAAACAGCUCAGCCUUGCUCCUGCCAUUUCCACGUUCAUUCCAUCACUUCCCCCUGAAUGCUGCCCCGGGUUCUGAAUGCAGCCUUUGCGUGUGUUCCACCUUGAGGAUGAACAGCAAACAGACACGGCGCCAGAUGGACAUUUGCUAGAAUCUAAUCCUCGGAAAAACAGCCUGAAGCGACUUUAAAAUAGCAACACACCGGUGACACUGGGUGACCAGGGGACCUGUUGUAAACAGCAACUUAAUAAAAUAAAACCCUGGUGACAGUUUUAAAAUCCUCACCAAACAUUUUGGGACUAAAGGCAAUAUUUUUAUAGCUCCUAUUCCCUGGCUGUAAAUGUCGGCUUUUUCUUAAAUAGCCCUUUCAGAGGCCCAGGUGCAGCCCAGGGGACAAGCUGAUGACAACAUGCUGCUCCAUAAAAGAGCGACUGUUCGGCCUCCAGGAAAACCCAGCGAGGCCCGUG